AUCUUUUGCCCAACAUCAGCCCACUCACGCCACUUUUCCCUCUUUUUUUGCCCAAACCCAUAAUUUUCCCACUUUUUUUUUUUUUUUAAUCAUAGGAAUUACAAAGCUAGGGUAUAAGUGAAAUUGAGCAGUUGAAACUCUGUGAAGCAUCAAGCCUUGUGUUCCUCUCUACAACCUAGGGUUUCAUUCUUCUUCUUCUCAAGUUUUGUAUUUUUGCUUCGGUGUCAAAUCGGUUUGCUUGUUAUUGCCCCUCCAUUUUUUCCUUCCUGAGCAGAGGGUCUACCGGAAACUGCCUAUCUAUCUUCUUAAAGGCAGGUAUAAGGUAUGCAUACACUUUACCCUCUUCAGGCUCUACUUGUGGGAUUACACUGGGUAUGUUGCUGAUGGUGUAUCAAUAAAAAUUAUUAUUCCUUAUGGAUGUCAUUGCCUUUAGAUUCCUCUCUUCUAAUAGAUAACAAUAAUACUUUCGUUAUAGUUGUAUAUUGACUAGAUUUUAGAUAUUUUUUAUGUUGCUACAUUUACUCUUACAAUAGUUUUCUGUAUUGUCUAGUUAUGAUCUUUUGCCAAGGGAUAGUGUAUAUAGAGAGUUUUCUCUGUUAGAAGUUAUAGAGAUGGAGUGUAUUGCCUUAAGAGAACAAAUAAAAGAUAGAGCAUUCUUUAGUUUCUAUACCAAGAUAAGAGCAAUGAUAGUGUUUGAUCAGCCUUCAUCAACAUCUUCAACUGAUCCAUAGAUUGAAUCAUUUAACAGGUUAGUAAUUGAAAAUCCUAUUUUACUCUAUGAUGAAAAUAUUACAACGCUCAUGUGAAUUUUUUCUUUAUGUCAUUAACAUUUAUGAAUAAAUAAAAACAUAGUUAAUGAAACAAGUGAAUUUAAGCAAGAAUGAAGUUUCAAAUAUUAUGUACAUGGUGCACUUGUGCUUGCGUACAUACCAGGAGAUAAAGGACUUUUGGAGAGAUUUUACAUUAGAUAUAUGCUGCUGUCUGCUAAAGUAAUGUGUCGCUGUCUGCUCCUUUUUUUUUAUCUGACGUUGCGCCUCUCUCUCUCUCUCUCCAAUGAUCUUAUCUCUAUUUCUUUCCUGUUACACUUAUUAUUAUCUCUCUUUCUACCUCACCAUUUUUAGUAGAAACUAGAAUACCCACAAAGCAGAACAAUCCUGUCAUAUCACUUAAGCUCUGAGCCUGCAAUUUUCUUGAAAUAACUAAAGGGUACUCUACUUUUCUUUGUUCUUUUCUAUAAUUUUCUGCUUUAGCUUCUAGCUUUAUUUCCAUUUGAAUUGUUGCCUUCUUUUUAUUUCUCUCUGUUUGUUUCUUGAUGAUAAAAUCACGAGCUUUGUUGGUUAGUAUGUUGUUGUUAUAAUUAGUGUUAUUAUGGUUACUAGUAAAAUGCUACAACUAUUAUAACUAUUAUUGUUAUGAUUAUGAUUUUUUAGUUAUUAUUUUCUCUUUGUAAAAAUUGGAGCUUUUGGUUUCUUUUCUUGAUCUACUAUGAGUAGCUUCAAAUUGCUCUUCUGGUAAUUUCUUUAUCUCUUUGCAUGUUACUGCUAGUAAUCUUUGUAAUCAAAUGACAAUUAACCUCUUCAUGGCCUUGAUACAAUCUUCGGCAUUUAAAAUGUCAUAUAUAUUUCAUACCUUGGACAAGAGUUUAAAAGAUUUUAAGCUAUUAUUGAGACCUUCUUCCAUAGUUGAGAAGACAUUAGUUGGAAAGAAAUGGAGAAUCUGCUAUUCUAUCUAAUAUCUCCACACUUUUAAAGAAUAUGGAUUCAAGACUUGAAACUUAGAAUGCUAUACGGAGUCCUCCAGUCGUAUAAUCAUAAAUUAAAAAAUUACGCACUGUGGUGAAAGACAUGUUACACUAGCCAUCUUGCAUACAGACUUAAGGUUUUCUUUUCUUAAAUGUUUGGUCAUUGUUCUCCCUUUAAUAAGUACUAGUUCAUUUUUUUGUAAGCUGGUGGCAGAUUGCCAAUUGGUAUCUAGGAACAUUGGUUAAGAUUCAUGACGUUUGUUUUGGUUUUGUUUUGGGAAAAAUUUUGAAAAGGUGAAAAAGUAUAUUUUGGGUCCAAUAAUGAUUAGGUAAUUUGGUAUAAGUUAGUCUGGUACUUGGCUAGAAUUUAAUUGAACUUAUCACUUCUUUGGCUAGUCAACUUACUUCUCAUGAAUAUGGUUAUCUAUCUGUGCAUUCGAUAAUUUAAGGUAUUAUCUGUUCAUUUUCCCUUUAAAGUGUUUAUUUUCUUCUUUAGUUAUUUAUUCUUUGAUACUAAACUCGCAUAAAUUUGUUAUUUUAACAGAUCAAAAUUUGAAAUCCGAAGAACCUAUAUUUGAAGAAAGUGUAGAGCAAGUUGAAGUUCAAGAGGUUUUUGGUUCGUCAUCGAUGGUUUAAAGACACUGUCUUAUGUACAUAUAUAUGCUGCAAUUUUAUUUUUAUUCUUUUUAGGAAUUAUUUAAAAUGAUGCUUAACUCACCUCACUUUAUGCUUCUAGUUGUCUCC